UCUUGCACAAUGGGGGAAACCCUGAUGCAGCGACGCCGCGUGGAGGACGAAGGGUUUAGGCCUGUAAACUCCUUUUAUCGGGAAAGACUUAGGACGGUACCCGAUGAAUAAGGACCGGCUAACUACGUGCCAGCAGCCGCGGUAAGACGUAGGGUCCAAGCGUUGUCCGGAUUUACUGGGCGUAAAGAGCGCGUAGGCGGUUUGGUAAGUGUGAAGUGAAAUCUCCGGGCUCAACCCGGAAACUGCUUUACAUACUGCCUAACUUGAGGGAUGGAGAGGUGAGUGGAAUCCCUGGUGUAACGGUGAAAUGUGUUGAUAUCAGGAGGAACACCCAUGGCGAAGGCAGCUCACUGGCCAUCAUCUACGCUAGCGCGAAGCG
rnacentral:rRNA from 1 species